rnacentral:rRNA from 1 species
GACGAACGCUGGCGGCGUGCCUAAUACAUGCAAGUAGGACGCAGUUGCGAACGGGUGAGUAACGCGUAGGUAACUACCUACUAGAGGGGGAUAACUAUUGGAAACGAUAGCUAAUACCGCAUAAUAGUAGAUGGACCUGCGUUGUAUUAGGUAGUAGGUAGGGUAAUGGCCUACCUAGGCAACGAAACAUAGCCGACCUGAGCUGGGGAUCGGCCACACUGGGGCUGAGGCACGGCCCAGACUCCUACGGGGAGGAGCAGUAAGGAAUCUUCGGGCAUGGGGGGAAAGCUGACCGAGCAACGCCGCGUGAGUGGAGGAGGUUUUCGGAUCGUAAAGCUCUGUUGUUAAGGGAGCGGUACUUAACCAGAAAGGGACGGCUAACUACGUGCCAGCAGCCGCGGUAAUUC